UACGGAGGGGGCUAGCGUUGUUCGGAAUUACUGGGCGUAAAGCGCACGUAGGCGGAUCUUUAAGUCAGAGGUGAAAUCCCAAGGCUCAACCUUGGAACUGCCUUUGAUACUGGGGAUCUCGAGUCCGGAAGAGGUGAGUGGAACUGCGAGUGUAGAGGUGAAAUUCGUAGAUAUUCGCAAGAACACCAGUGGCGAAGGCGGCUCACUGGUCCGGUACUGACGCUGAGGUGCGAAAGCGUGGGGAUCAAACAGG
rnacentral:rRNA from 1 species